rnacentral:rRNA from 1 species
CUCCUUUGACGUUAGCGGCGGACGGGUGAGUAACACGUGGGUAACCUACCUAUAAGACUGGGAUAACUUCGGGAAACCGGAGCUAAUACCGGAUAAUAUUUCGAACCGCAUGGUUCGAUAGUGAAAGGUGGUUUUGCUAUCACUUAUAGAUGGACCCGCGCCGUAUUAGCUAGUUGGUAAGGUAACGGCUUACCAAGGCGACGAUACGUAGCCGACCUGAGAGGGUGAUCGGCCACACUGGAACCGAGACACGGUCCAGACUCCUACGGGAGGCAGCAGCC